GACGUAGGAUGCAAGCGUUGUCCGGAUUUAUUGGGCGUAAAGAGUUCGUAGGCGGUUUGUUAAGUCUGAUGUUAAAGACCGUGGCUCAACCUCGGGAAUGCAUUGGAUACUGGCAGACUGGAGUGCAGUAGAGGCUAGUGGAAUUCCCAGUGUAGCGGUGAAAUGCGUAGAUAUUGGGAAGAACACCGGUGGCGUAGGCGACUAGCUGGGCUGUAACUGACGCUGAGGACCGAAAGCCAGGGGAGCAAAUGGG
rnacentral:rRNA from 1 species